GACUUCUGCAACUGUGUUUCAGUAUUGUGCAAGGAAAAAGAAGACCCUAUGCUAGGAGAUUCUCCCUUAACAUCCUCUAUAUACAUAACAUUAACACCACGCAGACUAUUUUUGCGACUCUUCCUCCUUCUGGCUUUUACUAACUUCUUUGCUAACGGCGGCAUUUUGUCGAUUCAAAUAUACCGAUUAUAACUAAUAUUCUAUAAUGUAAUCGGUUAUAAUUUAGACUUACAGUUUGUUGCGACGAAUCAAUUAGUAUUCCGCAAAAAGUCACUUUAAAGUUUUUGCUAAAUUAAACCUUCUCUUUGCAGGUGUACGGUCCUAUCCGUCGGCGACCCGUUGAUUAGGUUGACCUCGGUUUAUGGGAAGAUUCCUUAGUACUCCGGCUCGAUGGUCCCCAAUUCAGCAACAGGUACCCCAGUAGGAUCCGUCCGCAAUCAGCUGCUUCAGGAAUGAUUUCAAUGAUGACGUGGAUGAGGUGCGUGUGAUUUCGGUGGAUGGCUUGCACGGCAGCCGAAAUCACCUGUCUCCGGUAUUUACCCUUCGCUCCUGGGGAAACCGUGCCAAAACCCAAGAGGGAGAAGUUGCACUUAACUUUGUCCACUUAUUUAAUAUGUAACAGUUCAAUAAAAUAGUUUGUAGAAUUUUUAA